rnacentral:tmRNA from 2 species
GGGGAUGAUCGGUUUCGACGGUGACCUGUUCGUCGCAGGGAAGCGUGCCGAGAAUGUGGAGUCCACUCGAGAUGACCUCCACAAAAGAACAAGUGCUAAAUCUAACCGCACUGAGUUCGCCCUCGCUGCCUGAGCCUAGCGCCAGAUAAACCAGCGAGUGUGACUCCGUCCGCUCCUUUUUGUCUUCGGGAGGAUGUCGGGCGUCAUUAGAGGACUUGCUCAAGUCAUUGCGUCACAGGGUGGCUUGGGGACUUUAACUGCGAAUAUGCUCGCCAUCCAGCGUCCGCGCCACGGAUGGGGGCAGAAAAACCGCCUUACGGCCAGCGGACUACGCACGUAGAAGACUGAGGGUUCGGUCAUCGGACCGGGGUUCAAUUCCCCGCAUCUCCACUC